GAUAAGCCUGCAUAUGAUACAAGGUUCGCAUCCUCUUCUCAUUAAUCAAAACUAGUUCUUUAUAUAUUUUCUGGGCCCAUUCAUUUUCCUGGAUCUUAGCUUCUAGUAUCACCCUCAAGGAUUUGACCUCUUACUAAUGGAUAGCAUUGGUUUAGUCCCAUCUACUAAAGAGAAUGGGUUACCCCCGUGGAUGUCCUUACAGUACUACGAUAACCUUAAACAACAUACGGAAUUUUUCAGGCCAAUCCUUAUAUGU
rnacentral:misc_RNA from 1 species